UAGAGGGUUUUAAGCACUGUUCAUCAAAAGAAAUCUGCAAGGGCCGGGUCAAGGGUCGGGUCUUGGAGCGGUUUUUCGAUUACCUAUGCAGGAGAACCCGAUACAGCUGCAAAGUAGGGCAGGUAGCCAGGUACGGCCAAUCUCCUCCUGCAGAUUGCAAUCUUCUGCAAUCUUCCCUCUACCGCAUUUGCCCCUCUCCUUGAGCUUGAAUAUCUGAGAUUGGUUGAUGAUGUUUGCUAUAAAAAUUGGAUCGAGUUUCAUACCCUGGCACACUUGGAUCGGAUAAUUCUACUACGCUUCCUGAUCCGUCGCUCCGGCAGCGGUCACUCGGCGCCGGAUGAACGUCUCCGCCGAGACCCUCUUUUCUGACCCCUAAGGUGUUCGACUAUUUCUCCAAACCAACCGUCCGCGUCGAACACCAAGCAGGUGCAGAAGCUCACUGGGUCCAAGAAUGUGAGGAUUAAGACCCAGCUUGACCCGAGUUUAGUGGCUAUAAGAAUUGAAUCCGGAGAAAGAGAAAUAGUAGCUGAUUCUUCAUCAAAGGAAAAUAAAGCAUAAGAUGAAAAAAGGAAUGAUUUUAUGCCAGUUUGGUGUAGUUGGAAAGCAACAUGCUCACAGGAGAGAUGCCUCCAAGACUUGGCAAGCAGCUAGGACCAGAAUUAUUGUUUGGAAGAAACCAUUCUGUUCAAUUUAAUUGGUUGGAACUUUACAUAGGUACAAUAAGCUAUGCAACUUUAUGAGGAGAUGAAACAUUUGUUGUGGAUCCUCCAAUUACCCUCUGGAUUUUGAAAUGGAUGCUUGACUGAGAUCUAUGUUUUGAGAGCUCCCAAUCACAACACCACUUGAAUGAGCUGUCUGUGUAAGACAUUUUAAUGUGUAUUUGACUAAACUUUGCCAUAUGAUAUAUCCUGAUUUUUUUAAAUGAUAGUUGACUGGUUUUUUGAACAAGGAUGGUGAUUUUGUUUCAGUUAGCUAACUAACUUAGGACCAUGAAUGCUGGAAUUGAAGGAGAAGAAGAAAUUAGCAUCAGCAAGAAGUAGCAUGUUGAAUUGAAGGAGAUGGAACUAGCAUCACAAGAAGGAAUUGAAGGAGGAUUAGAAAUUAGUAUCAGCAAGAAGUAGCAUGUGGAAUUGAAGGAGAUGGAAGUAGCAUCACAAGAAGUAAUUGAGCAGUUUUCGUUUGAGAGAGAAUGGAAAAAAUGAAGAAAUGUGAGCCAAGUAUAUAUUUGUACUCAUUUAUCUUUAUGUAAAAAACACAAUUAAUUGAUCAUUUUUCCUUUUAUUUUGUAUUAAAAUCCCAUUAUCUGUACUUUGGAGCAUUUUUUUUCCAGCUCCCACAAACGGUUGCUUGAUUUUAAAUAAAAAUGUAUGCUUCAUGAAAUUUUACUCACAA